rnacentral:misc_RNA from 1 species
GAAAUGCGAUAAGUAAUGCGAAUUGCAGAAUUCAGUGAGUCAUCGAAUCUUUGAACGCACAUUGCGCCCUUUGGUAUUCCAAAGGGCAUGCCUGUUCGAGCGUCAUUAUCAACCAUCAAGCUUGGCUUGUCGUUGGAUCUGACAUCGUUAAAGAUGGGUCCGAAAGAUAGUGACGGCGUCGCGAUCGACCCCAGAUGCAACGAGCUUAUUCAGCACGCAUUAUGGAGGUCGGCCGGCCUGGUCUUAACCAUUUCAUCUCUGAAGAUUGACCUCGGAUCAGGUAGGAAUACCCGCUGAACUUAA